rnacentral:tRNA from 1 species
AGAGAUGGCUCAGAGGUUAAGAGCACUGGCUGCUCUUUCCCAGAGGUCCUGAGUUCAAUUCUCAGCAACUAUA